rnacentral:rRNA from 1 species
CCCUUAGAUGUCCUGGGCCGCACGCGCGCUACACUGAUGCAUUCAACGAGCCUAUCCUUGACCGACAGGUCCGGGUAAUCUUUGAAUCUGCAUCGUGACGGGGAUAGAUUAUUGCAAUUAUUAAUCUUCAACGAGGAAUGCCUAGUAAGCGCAAGUCAGCAGCUUGCGUUGAUUACGUCCCUGCCCUUUGUACACACCGCCCGUCGCUACUACCGAUUGAAUGGUUUAGUGAGAUCUUCGGAUUGGCGCCACUGCGGCUCAGCAAUGGGCUCGGUGGAUGCCGAAAAGUUGAUCAAACUUGAUCAUUUAGAGGAAGUAAAAGUCGUAACA